AAUCAACGCUGGCGGCGUGCCUCAGACAUGCAAGUCGAACGAUUAAAGCUCUCUUCGGAGAGUGUAUAGAGUGGCGCACGGGUGAGUAACACGUAGUAAUCUACCCUCGAGUGGGGAAUAACGUUCGGAAACGAACGCUAAUACCGCAUAAUGCAGCGGCAUCGCAAGAUGACAGUUGUUAAAGGAGUAAUUCGCUUGAG
rnacentral:rRNA from 1 species